rnacentral:rRNA from 1 species
AUGAACGCUGGCGGCGUGCCUAAUACCUGCCAGUCGCGCGAACAGACGAGGAGCUUGCUCCUCUGACGUUAGCGGCGGACGGGUGAGUAACACGUGGAUAACCUACCUAUAAGACUGGGAUAACUUCGGGAAACCGGAGCUAAUACCGGAUAAUAUAUUGAACCGCAUGGUUCAAUAGUGAAAGACGGUUUUGCUGUCACUUAUAGAUGGAUCCGCGCCGCAUUAGCUAGUUGGUAAGGUAACGGCUUACCAAGGCAACGAUGCGUAGCCGACCUGAGAGGGUGAUCGGCCACACUGGAACUGAGACACGGUCCAGACUCCUACGGGAGGCAGCAGUAGGGAAUCUUCCGCAAUGGGCGAAAGCCUGACGGAGCAACGCCGCGUGAGUGAUGAAGGUCUUCGGAUCGUAAAACUCUGUUAUUAGGGAAGAACAAAUGUGUAAGUAACUAUGCACGUCUUGACGGUACCUAAUCAGAAAGCCACGGCUAACUACGUG